AAGGAUCAUUAACGAGUUAGGGUUCUUCGCGAGCCCGACCUCCCAACCCUUUGUCUAAUAUACCUUUUGUUGCUUCGGCGGGCCCGUCUUCAUCGACCGCCGGGGGACUUCGGUCUCCUGGUCCGCGCCCGUCGAUGGCCCCAACCCAAAACUCUUGAAUAAAUCAUGUCAUUUGUCUGAGUAAUUCAUUAAAUAAAAGCAAAACUUUCAACAACGGAUCUCUUGGUUCUG
rnacentral:misc_RNA from 1 species